AUCACUUCUCAGCCUUUUGGCUAAGAUCAAGUGUAGUAAAAGAUCUUUUCAGAUAAUACUUAUGGAAGCAGUCUGCCCAUGAAUCAGACCUGCCACUGCAUGCUGUUUGUUUUCUUGAGAGAACUUAAUCAAAAUAGGAAAACAUCCUGAUUUCUUGUUGGUUCUCUCCAAGUUCCAAUUGGGAGAAUCUGCUU